GACGAACGCUGGCGGCGUGCCUAAUACAUGCAAGUCGAACGCAGUGGGGACGGGUGAUUAACACGUGGGUAACCUCCCAUCAGAGGGGAUAACACUUGGAUACAGGUGCUAAUCCGAUAAUGAUGGAUCGACCCGCGGGGCAUUAGCUAGUUGGUGAGGUAACGGCUUACCAAGGCCACGAUGCAUACCCGGCCUGAGAGGGGGAUCGGCCACACGGGGACUGAGACACGGCCCAGACUCCUACGGGAGGCAGCAGUGGGGAAUCUUUGGCAAUGGACGAAAGUCUGACCGAGCAACGCCGCGUGAGUGAAGAAGGUCUUCGGAUCGUAAAGUUCUGUUGUUAGAGAAGCGUUAUCUAAACAGAAAGCAACGGCUAACUACGUGCCAGCAGCCGCGGUAAUUC
rnacentral:rRNA from 1 species